rnacentral:misc_RNA from 1 species
GGAAGGAUCAUUAAAAGUAAAUAUGUAUUCCACGGAAUAUGCAUUUCAAACCCAUCUGUGUAUCUUACCUGUUGCUUCCGUGCUGCGUGGACUCGGGUCCCCUCUCGCUGUACAUGUUACGGCUGCGAGUGCCAGCAUGGAAGGUAUACUUCAAACCCUUGAAUUCUAUGUCAUCGGUCUGAACCUGUUUAUAAAUAAAAGUUAAAACUUUCAACAACGGAUCUCUUGGUUCUCGCAUCGAUGAAGAACGCAGCGAAAUGCGAUAAGUAGUGUGAAUUGCAGAAUUCAGUGAAUCAUCGAAUCUUUGAACGCACAUUGCGCCCCUUGGUAUUCCUUGGGGCAUGCCUGUUCGAGCGUCAUCAAAACCACUCAAGCUGCUUUGCUUGGUCAUGGGAGAAGAGUCUGUCUGUCAGUCUCCCUUCCGAAUUUCAAUGGCGGAAGGUCCUCUGGUGCCUGGCGUAGUAAUAACUGUUCGCUCUGCAUCUGGAGGUGAUUCCUGCCCCAAACCCCCACCUCUUUAAGGUUGACCUCGGAUCAGGUAGGGAUACCCGCUGAACUUAAGCAUAUCAAUAAGCGGAGGAAAAGAAACCAACAGGGAUUGCCUUAGUAACUGCGAGUGAAGCGGCAAAAGCUCAAAUUUGAAAUCUGGCGUCUUUGGCGUCCGAGUUGUAAUUUGGAGGGAUGUCUUCGGGGUUGGCGCCGUCCUAAGUUCCUUGGAACAGGACGUCAUAGAGGGUGAGAAUCCCGUGCCUGGAUGGCUGUCCAACUCCAUGUGAAGUGUCUCCGACGAGUCGAGUUGUUUGGGAAUGCAGCUCAAAAUGGGUGGUAAAUUUCAUCUAAAGCUAAAUAUUGGCGAGAGACCGAUAGCGCACAAGUAGAGUGAUCGAAAGAUGAAAAGCACUUUGAAAAGAGAGUUAAAAAGUACGUGAAAUUGUUGAAAGGGAAGCGCUUGCGACCAGACUCGAUCUUUGGUGAUCAUCCGGGCUUCGGUUCGGUGCCAUCGCCAUUGAUUGGGCCAGCAUCGGUUCCAACGGCGGGAUAAAAGGGCAAGGAAUGUGGCUCCCCUCGGGGAGUGUUAUAGCCUCGCUCACAAUGCCACCAGUCGGGACCGAGGACCGCGCUUCGGCUAGGAUGCUGGCACAAUGGUCUUAAGCGACCCGUCUUGAAACACGGACCAAGGAGUCUAACAUCUAUGCGAGUGUUCGGGUGAAAAACCCUUGCGCGUAAUGAAAGUGAACGGAGGUGUGAACCCUUCACGGGGUGCAACAUCGACCGGUCCUGAUGUCUUCGGAAGGAUCUGAGUAAGAGCAUAGCUGUUGGGACCCGAAAGAUGGUGAACUAUGCCUGAAUAGGGUGAAGCCAGAGGAAACUCUGGUGGAGGCUCGCAGCGGUUCUGACGUGCAAAUCGAUCGUCAAAUUUGGGUAUAGGGGCGAAAGACUAAUCGAACCAUCUAGUAGCUGGUUCCUGC